ensembl:lncRNA
CAAGGACUGUGCCGACCUCGAUAUCCACAAGACAGUCAAAGUGGUAAUGUACAUUUUUACAGAAAGAUUGGAAUGAUACCGAUUUGGGGCAAGUAAUACCUGAUGUCAGAUAUAUAACACUAAAAUCACACUGUUUACUCAUUUAAACCAGCGUGCUGAAGCAAUAUUUAAAGCAUGUAAUUAUAGUGACUGAUAAUUAAGUAAAAUUGUUUUUUUCAGGAUGUGAUGAGAAAUGAGAUUAUUUUACAUGUGGUUUAAGAUCUCAGGCUGUUGUCAGCCGUGUAAUUGAAGGUUAUUGACAAGUUGUUCUAUCGCAAUUUAUUGUAUAGAUUCUGAAUAUAAUGCAAAUCUUGAGAAAUGAGACAAUCUAUUCUAAUGGUCCUUAUUAGCUGGUGGGAACAGAAGAAUUGUCAUCUGAAGGAAAGAACAAUACUAAUGAGUUGUCACUGUCUUGGGAUUUGCCUCAAGUCACAUGUGAGAACAGAAGAUGCUGCUGGACAAGCUGAUGCUCCACGCAGUACUUGGAAGAAGCUCAAGACGGGUUAAACAGUUACGAAGGGGCUUAAAAGAGACGCUGAUCUGGCCUUUGCUACCUGAGAGGAAAGACACAAUUCCCUCCUCUUUCCAAGAGCAUGUGAUGUACAGCGCACACCACAGCAUCUGUCAGCAUCCUUGGGAAACUCCUACAGUUGUGGAUAGGAUGGAAUGUGCUCCCCAGACACCAGCUGGAUAUCAGCGUGGUGGAGAGCAACUUCUCCACUUCCUCCACCUGCUUCCACCAGCUGAAGCUUCCAGUACAAAGACUACUGCCACUCUGAAAUGGACCUUCUUGCUGCUACUUGUAGGACACUGUUUUUGGGUUGGUCUAAGGACUCUGUCCAUCAAGAUAACACUUUGUAUGUGCACUUUAGAGCUGCAAUGAAUAGUCAACUAAAUCGACUACGUCGAUUGUGAAAAAUUGUCGACGUGGAUUUUUAACGUCGCGCGUCAUAUAUUUUAUGUCAGAGCUGCCGGUAAUUUUCAUUCAGCAUUGCAAUGCACUACCGGAAGUGCAGGGGGCAGUAUGGCUUACAUUGUCUAUAUGCACCAAGGCAUAGACAUACUUACACCAAGGCAAAGAAGAAGAACGAUUUUGAAUCACGGCGGAACAGAGCUCGACCGAGAGCUUCAAAAGUCUGGGAAUAUUUUACCAGCAAACAAAAUCUACAGCUACAAAUGGGGACUCCUGAACACAAACUUGUCCAAGAUGUCAGUACCAGGUGGAACAGCACCUAUCACAUGAUUAGUCGCCUACUGGAACAGAGGUGGCCAGUCACUGCAGCCCUUUCUGACCCGGCAACACAGAGAGGGAAACAAUACCUGGACCUCAAAAGCGAUCAGUGGACCCUUCUCCAAGAACUGGCCCAAGCUCUCCAGGCCUUUGAAUGUGCCACUGUGUACUUGAGUGGUGAGAGUUAUGUGACAGUCUCUGCACUGCCUCCUCUGGUCAAAGGGCUUCUGAAGUCCACCCACACUUCUUAUGAGACAACUCCUGUGCAGGCCUUCCAGGCAGCUGCUUCAAAGGAAACCACUACACGGUGGUCAGGAGAGGUCACCUUCACCGAUGACAAACAGAGCAAACAGAUCAUUGCAGCCGCAUUUGACCC